GGAGCGAUGCCGGAGUGGUCGAACGGUCCUGACUCGAAAUCAGGUGUACGGGUAACCGUACCGGGGGUUCGAAUCCCCCUCUCUCCG
rnacentral:tRNA from 1 species